rnacentral:rRNA from 1 species
UACGGGGGGGGCAAGCGUUGUUCGGAAUUACUGGGCGUAAAGGGCUCGUAGGCGGCCAACUAAGUCGGAUGUGAAAUCCCCAGGCUUAACCUGGGAACUGCAUCCGAUACUGGAUGGCUUGAAUCCGGGAGAGGGAUGCAGAAUUCCAGGUGUAGCGGUGAAAUGCGUAGAUAUCGGGAGGAAUACCAGUGGCGAAGGCGGCUUCCUGGCCUGUUCUUGACGCUGAGGCGCGAAAGCUAGGGUAGCAAACGGG